rnacentral:tRNA from 1 species
GCCCAGGUGGCGAAAUCGGCAGACGCACAGGACUUAAAAUCCUGGGACCCUUAAAGUCGUGCGGGUUCAAGUCCCGCCCUGGGCA